CCCGCCUACUAAACAAGGUUGCCAGGCAAUCUGUGAAAUCCUACCUACUUUAAAAGGUUGCCAGAUAGACCUGUGAAAUCAUAAUCAGGUUUUUUCCCAAGUGUGUUGAGACACACAAGGAAUUUUGUUCCAGAUGUUUAUCUCCACCAGUGAACAGAAUCAAGGUGAAAUUCAGAGCUUCUUCUCCAAAGUUCUCCUGAAUCCACUUCAGAGCAUUGUUCUCCUCCAACGUGAAUCUUCCCAGCCUGAUCACCAGCAGGAAGACAUGAGGUUGUGGUCACAGAUGCAGGAGAUGCCUCGACUCUGAAGGCUUCUUCACGCAGGAUGGUGUUUCCUGAUGCACUCUUUCCUGCUCCAGUUUUCCCCACUAACAUCAGUCGAAGCUCAGGAUGAUUCACUUCAUGUCCUAAAAAGCAGAUUGAUACAAAACAAAGCAGAUAAUAUGGAUAAUACUGUGGUCUACAGCAUAAUCUAUAACUUUAGUGGGAAUAUUGGAUUUGAAAUUUGGUAGCUGUAGUUUGAUCAGCAUUUACCUUUAAAAUCAAAAUAUAAUCCAAUACCCAGUGGAACCAGAACCAGAACGGAGGUCAGCCAAAUGAAAGAAUGAAUGUUCUAUAGAAUAGGCAGACAAAUAUUUUGAGACAUUGAUAUUUUACAAACCAAUCCUUUAAGAUGUUAUGUUCAAGCAGGUAUAUGUAGUAAGCACAUUCUCAUCUAUAACAUAGUCUAAUGGUCUGAGAUGUAAAAAUGUUUUUUAUAAAAUGAUACUAACCUUUAAUUUCCUGUUCAUAUGAUUUGCCUCUUGUAACCUUUCCAUAAGUCUAUUGCUCUCCUUUUCCUUUUCAGUCAACUUUCUAGUCACUUCCUCCAACUGUCCCUUAAGUCUAUUGCUCUCCUCGUCCUUUUCAGUCAACUUUCUAGUCACUUCCUCCAACUGUCCCUUAAGUCUAUUGCUCUCCUCGUCCUUUUCAGUCAACUUUCUAGUCACUUCCUCCAACUGUCCCUUAAGUCUAUUGCUCUCCUUUUCCUUUUCAGUCAACUUUCUAGUCACUUCCUCUAACUGUCCCUUAAGUCUAUUGCUCUCCUUUUCCUUUUCAGUCAACUUUCUAGUCACUUCCUCCAACUGUCCCUUAAGUCUAUUGCUCUCCUCGUCCUUUUCAGUCAACUUUCUAGUCACUUCCUCCAACUGUCCCUUAAGUCUAUUGCUCUCCUUUUCCUUUUCAGUCAACUUUCUAGUCACUUCCUCUAACUGUCCCUUAAGUCUAUUGCUCUCCUUUUCCUUUUCAGUCAACUUUCUAGUCACUUCCUCUAACUGUCCCUUAAGUCUAUUGCUCUCCUCGUCCUUUUCAGUCAACUUUCUAGUCACUUCCUCCAACUGUCCCUUAAGUCUAUUGCUCUCCUCGUCCUUUUCAGUCAACUUUCUAGUCACUUCCUCCAACUGUCCCUUAAGUCUAUUGCUCUCCUUUUCCUUUUCAGUCAACUUUCUAGUCACUUCCUUUAACUGUCCCUUAAGUCUAUUGCUCUCCUUUUCCUUUUCAGUCAACUUUCUAGUCACUUCCUCCAACUGUCCCUUAAGUCUAUUGCUCUCCUCGUCCUUUUCAGUCAACUUUCUAGUCACUUCCUCUAACUGUCCCUUAAGUCUAUUGCUCUCCUCAUCCUUCUCAGUCAACCUUCUAGUCACUUCCUCCAACUGUCCCUUAAGUCUAUUGCUCUCCUUUUCCUUUUCAGUCAACUGUGUAGUCACUUGCUCUAACUGUCCCUUAAGUCUGGUGUUGCUUUCUUUCAUUUCCUUUAACUUGUAAGACAUGUUUUUCUUCUCCUGUCCUUCUUCAUUCUUUUUUAUCUUCUUUUCUUUUUCUCUGUUGGAAAUUGAUAAAUGGUUACUUGUAAUUUCACAUUUAAAAUACAUCAUCCUGUUUAAACGUGGCAAAAAAAUGAACGGCUCGAUACGCAACGAAUGUUGAUACUUCACACUGAAGACCGGCGUGACUGCUGUUUUAAUCGCUGUAAAAUCCCACAAUUUUUCAGUAUGAAACUCAUUAUUUUCAAGUUUUGUGAUUUUCCUUUAAAUAAAGCUGUUUAUCGUUCUGCACAU